UGAGGAAUAUUGGACAAUGGGCGCAAGCCUGAUCCAACCAUGCCGCGUGCAGGAAGAAGCAUCUAUGGUGUGUAAACUGCUUUUGUACGGGAAGAAACACUCCUUCGUGAAGGAGCUUGACGGUACCGUAAGAAUAAGGAUCGGCUAACUCCGUGCCAGCAGCCGCGAUAAUACGGAGGAUCCAAGCGUUAUCCGGAAUCAUUGGGUUUAAAGGGUCCGUAGGCGGUUUAGUAAGUCAGUGGUGAAAGCCCAUCGCUCAACGAUGGAACGGCCAUUGAUACUGCUAGACUUGAAUUAUUAGAAAGUAACUAGAAUAUGUAGUGUAGCGGUGGAAUGCUUAGAUAUUACAUGGAAUACCAAUUGCGAAGGCAGGUUACUACUUGUGGAUUGACGCUGAUGGACGAAAGCGUGGGGAGCGAACA
rnacentral:rRNA from 1 species